AUAUUGAGGUCCAGAAAGUAAAAUUCGAUGACAACCCUGGAGGAAGCUAAGAAAGAGGAGAGGAGAGGAAGUGAAAAGCCAUCUGUGACCCUGAGUUAGGGUUUUGCGGAGACGCAUAUAUAUAGAAAAUAAUAGGGUUUGGGAGUUGAUCUGAGAGCGGCGAGAUGAGGGGAGAAGUGAUGGGUGUGGGAGUCUUGGUAAGAAAAUAAACGAAAGAUUUGAAUAUUUUCUCUGGAAUUUUCUUUCCAAUGCCUCCCAUGCCCCUCAUUUUCUCCUUCCUCUACCUUCCGCCAUCAUCCGUCCCUGUGUCUUCUGCAUCUGCUUCAGGUGUAUCAUAUCUCAGUCUGGUUCACUGGGAUAAAUUAAAUCACAGGUGUGGGAGGUUUGGAAAGAGAUAGACAAAUAUUUGUGCAUAUAUACCACUCAAUUUUUGUCUCUUUUUUUCCAAUGCCUCCCAUACCCUUGAUGGUCUUCCCCUUUACAUAGCCUUUUAACUUAACCAUGGACCAGAGCUAUUCCAGCUCACCAAUAUCAUCUUGUUCUUGUUCUUGAGGUAUGCAUAUAUUAUAAUCUGUUAUUAUUGGCUCAUCCUGCAGUCUGAUGUGUCUGAUCUGCCUUUUUUAAGCAUACAGACGGGUCUGUUAACGUUUGGAUUGGUUUAUGAGCCGGACUAGAGACAGACAAAUCUUUCGGGAGGAGUAACAAAAUUCCUAAAAUGAUCCUCAAAACAAAAAAUUAUUUACACUGUAUUUCCAUCAACAUAUUAUGAAGAUUAUCUCUUUCCUUUUGGAUUUCUUGAAGCAGAGAAGAUCGAAGCUGAUGGAAUAUGAUGUUUAAUUGUAAUUUUUCACUGAAGACCGGAAAAAAAAAA